UGAUUUAUGUGGCUCAAAUGUUUCUGUUGACCAGCCUUGUUGACUCCCAGAAAUGUGACAGUUGGCAGGUCUGACACUCUGGAAGAAUCAUUCUGCGAUGAAAUCAGCAGCUGUGCAUGCUGAAAAAUUCAGUUUUUAAAUUUGUAUAAUUUAUUUUAUUUUAAGCUAUGUGUUUCUAGAAUGUGUGACUGUCGGCUUGCCAGUCAACGAGACAGCCUAAGGACAACCAUGGUUCAUCCCUCGAUAGCCUGCUGUGAUUCUGCUCUGACCUCUGAUUUUACCAGGACUCCUCAUAGCACAGCAUCCGAGUCUUAUGUGGAGCAUGAAUUGGAAAGAGUUCCAAAGACACACCUGCAGUAUUGGGAAAAGAAGAUGGGAGAGAAAAAAGGAGAUAUUUUCAAGGAACAACUACAUAUACUUGAGACAAGAGCAGCUUUGUUAGAACAAGGAAAGCAUAUCGAGGUAGAUUCCAUCUAUUCCAAUCCAAAGAUAAAAUUCAUUCAAUUUGUAUUUGUAUUUAGCUACUUGUGGUUAAACGUCCUUCACACAAAUGUGAUCUCUCCAGCUUGUACAACUCAAAAUAAGUUUUUGACACUUGAAAAAGAAAUAAUUUUUAAUUUGUGUAUCUGAAAUGUUUGUGCUAGGGGAGAGUAGUAGGUAUCAAUCUGUGAAACAGGAAAUUUUUAAAACCUAGCAAAGAUUUUCAUUACAGAUAUAAAAACAAUUUUGCUCUAAUUUUUCCCAGAACUUAAAAGGUCAACUGAGGGAUGCUCCCCUAUCCACGGACUUAAUAAAGCAAAGAAUUGCACAUGCGCAUCUGUUUAUCCAACAGUUCCUCCAAUUGAUGUUUGCAGCUUUUCUGCACUGUCGGGAUUAUUCAUGUUUCUAAAUUGUAAGGAUAAGUGUUUUAUCUUAUUUGAAGGAUGUAGCUGCAGGGGGCAAGUAAGAAGUAUGCCACCCUCCUCUAAUAUAUUUCAGUCAAUUUGUAGCAUUGAGGUAACUUAAAACUUCAGUUUAAAAACUUUAAAGAACCAGAUAAAGAAAGAACAGAGACCUUGGAAACUAGGUGGACAAAGAAGUUCACUAGUAUGAUGAAAUGUAGUGUUCUUUCUCUUUAAAUGACUGCUAGAUGUAUAUCCACGCCUUUCAAUUAGCACAUGCACAUUCCACGCAGAUCUAUCCUCUCAUGUCCUUUUUGGGAAUAGAGGAAUGCGCACACUGCCACCUAAAAGGAGAGCCUAAAUUUUGCCCUGAACAUCACAGACUGAGAGUUUUAGCACCUCAUCACACCGACAAUUAGAAAGCAGGGGAACGCGGAGGGAACCGUUUUGCCCUAUUCCCUACUGUCCUUCCCGGUCUUCUGGGAUGGUUGGCCAUCCCACAUCCGUUUCUGACCUUUCCCAUGCUUUCCCCGCUUUCUCCUCAUUUUAUUGAGUCUGAAAAUUGAGUCUUUUUUCCAUAUGGCAACACGGAUUCCCACGGGCAAUGAUUGGAAGUGGCCAUGCGCCAUGUCAUGGAUUCCAUGGGACUCCGUUUUGCUAGUAUGUCAAAACUGAGACAAGACAGAGAGAAGACAAUACGGGAUGAAGUUUUUAGUCUGGCCUAAUCUAGAUGGAAUCCAUCUGUGUUUUCAAAAUGAUUGAGGCAAAUUUAAUUGUCCUCAAUACUCAUCCACAGAAAACACACUCCUUUGUAAUCUUUAAAUGCCCACUAAUCUGAGAUAUAAACUGAAGAAAUAGAGGAAUUUUUCAAAUGCUUCUGAAAGUGGAAGAUUUAUCUUGAGAGACUUGGGAUAGUGUUCCCUACAUUCUCAAAUAAUGGCCUAAACCCAAUUGUUAGCACAACUGGAGUGGAUCUGCUGAAUCCUUGGAAAGUAGGAAAGUAAAAACUUAGGUACAUUUAAUUGUUUCAAUGUUUAUUUCAAUUAAAAAUUGUUACAUUCUGAAAUAAUAGGAUUGCGGGAAGAAUUCUAGAGGACUUUUAAAAUGUGCAUAGGAUACAUCAGUGUACUUAUUUGUCACUUAUAAUGUAUGUACAUAUUAACUUCUAAGAGACUUCAAAUGAAAAUAAAUCGCCUACAUGAUGAAUUCAGAAAUACUGGGCUACAAGGUACACGGUAAGUAUGAACAACUAUAGAAGCAAUUCUAUUUAACAUUCUCUUAUUUUAUUACCUUGUUCUAUAUGUGAUAAAAGAAAGACUCAGACCUUCAUUCACUUUAUUACAAAACAUGUAUGAACUUCACACAUUAUAUUCAAUUACUGGGAUCCUGUAGUUGUUGUUGCUAUGUGCCUUCAAGUAGUUUCUGAUUUAUGGUGAGCUUAAAGCAAACCUAUCAUGUUUUUGUUUUGCAAGAUUUGUUUGUGGGGAUGUCAUUGCCUUCCUGUGAGAGAGUGUGGCUUGCCUAAAGUCAUGCACUGGGUUUCCAUGGCAAAGUGAGGAUUUGAAUCUUUGUCUACAAAGUUGUAGUUCAACACUCAAACUACUACAUUACAUUGAUCCUCCUAUAUUUACAGCUUUUUAAUGCAACAGUCUUCCAAUGACAGCAAAUUCUAUUUCAAGGGAAAUUGGGGAAAAGCAGAAAUGUGUCACACUUUUUCCUUGAGCACACUGUGACUUUUUCCUUUGCUAAAUAUCUUCUAGGGACCUGCCAAAGUCCUUAGGAGGACACUGUAGAGGACAUUAUUGCUGUGCAUUGAGCUAGAAGGUAUUUAGCUGAAUCUGACUCUGCUCAUGCCCCCAUUAUCAUUUUGGGACUGAGGAGGUGUGGCAAACAUUCAAAGAUAUUCAAAACAUUCAGGAGAAAAACAUAACAAAGCAUGCAAAUCCUGUGCUGCUCUCUGAGCUCCUGCUUUAAACAUUUUCUCUUCUUCCUGUGCUAUCUCCCUUCUCGUAAAAGUCCUUUUGAACUCUUGGGGGGAUGUUUAAAGCAGGAGCUCAGAGACAAGGAAGAGGGGAAAUUAAGCUUUAACUUUCUCAGCUAACCCUUUGAUAGGCAAAACAAAAGCCUGACAGCACAGCAUAAGUUUCAGAAAGGCAAUUGAGAAAAUAGUCUUUCAGUGUUCAUGUUUCUUUGGAUUUGGUAAUGUAAAUCUCAAAAUAUCAAUUAAUACAACACAGACCAACACAUAUUUUGGUAUCACAAAUAUUAGACUGGUUCUGGGUAUGCUUGACUUACUGAUUUCAAAACAUGGCACCAGCUUCCACUUAUCAUUUCUAGUAUUUGAGAUAGAGAACAUAUGCUACCUACCAGUUGCCAUCUGCUUAUCCAUAGAGAAAGAUGAUAACCAUAUCUAAGAAAGUAGAGCCUGAAAAUCAAGACACAAUGAAUUUUUUGUUGUGCUGUGUAAUGUUGUUGCUUGUUCUGGGUCCACCUGACAUAAGAUUCUGAGCCUGGAAGUUGCUUUUUAUGAGUUCAGAUCAGGCAACGUGCAGACCAGGAGCUAUGCAUAUUCCUCAAUACUAUUUUUUCAGACCCUCCAAGUUUCCCCACAUGCUUUCUUUUCCCAAGUCACGAAUAUCACCUGCUGCAGCCUCAGUGCAUACAUUUGGCCAUUCUGCAGUCUUGGCUUUUUUUCAAUACAAGAAGUGAGAAUCUCAACUGACAUCAUAGGAAGGGGGCCUGAAAAUGAAAGAAAACAGUGAAUCCCCUUGAGGAUAUUAUUGACUAUUUUUUAUUUUGACUUUUUUUCCUGAUUGCAAUUUUUCUAAAAAAAUUUGUGGAAAGACAAAGUGGGGUAAGGCAGGUUAUUAGGUUCCUCAGAAAUGUCAGUACUCUUCCCAUUGCCUUAACAUUGCCCAUCUCUCAAUUAAAUCCUAAUAGUGAUAGUUAUGCUUAGAGAUAGUUUGACUUGUGUGAAUCUGGAUUAGAUGCUCCUUUAUUUUGGUAUUUUGGUUGCAUUGAUCUGUGAUGUAUUUUAACACUACAGAGUCAUCAUCUCAGCAUAUUCUAGCAACACUCACAGAGGGGAGCAUGCUGAUUCACUCCUACCCUCCCCAGUUGCAUCAUUUUUUUCACACAGGGAUUUAAUAGAAGAUCUUUCUGUACACAUGGAUGCCCCUGACACAUUGUGGAAUACCAAUGUAUUAUUUAUUUCUAUAACAUUGAAUUUGUUAUGGAAUUUAAAGGGCUAAAAUAGUAGCAGCUCUGGCAGGGAAUUAAUGUGAGAGUUCUGCAAAGUAAAGUCUGCAAAGGCUGUGAGUUUUAAAGGCUACUGUAAGUGUAUGUAUUACAUUGUAUGGAGCAAGAUUGCCAGACGUACAAGCUGGGUUUAGAAAAGGCAGAGGAACGAGAGACCAAAUUGCCAAUAACUGCUGGAGAACGGAGGAUGGCAGAGAAUUUCAGAAAAACAUCUGUUUCUGUUUAUUGACUAUUCUAAAGCCUUUGACUUUGUGGAUCAUAAUAAAUUAUGGCAAGUUCUUGGUGGUAUGGGGAUACCAAGUCACCUUGUCUGUCUCCUGAGAAAUCUGUUUAACAGCCAAGUAGCAAUGGUAAGAACAGACCAGGGAACAACAGACUGCUUCAAGAUUGGGAAAGGAGUACAGCAGGGCUGUAUGCUCUCACCCUACCUACUCAACUUGUAUGCAGAACAAAUCAUGUGAUGUGCGGGGCUUGAUGAAUCCAAGGCUAGAAUUAAGAUUGCUGGAAGAAACAUUAACAAUCUUAGAUAUGCAGAUGAUACCACUUUAAUGGCUGAAAGUGAGGAGGAGCUGAGGAGCCUUAUAACCAAGGUAAAGAAGAAAGUGAAAGCUGGGAUACAGUUAAACAUCAAGAAAACCAAGUUAAUGGCAACCAGACUGACUGUUAACUGGCAAAUAGAGGGAGAAAACAUGGAAGCAAUUACACACUUUGUAUUUUUAUGCGUGACUGCAGCCAGGAAAUCUGAAGACAUUUACUUCUUGGGAGCACAGCAAUGACCAAUCUUGAUAAAACACUUAACAGUAGAGACAUCACACUGGCAAUGAAGGUCUGCAUAGUUAAAACAAUGGUAUUCUGAUGCUUUUAAACUGUGGUGUUGGAGGAAAAUUCUGAAAGUGUCUUGGACCACAAGAAGAUCAAACCAGUCCAUACUGCAGAAAAUAAAGCCCAACUGCUCAUGGAGGGAAGGAUAUUAAAAGCAAAGAUGAAGUACUUUGGCCACAUAAUGAGAAGACAGGAAAGCUCGGAAAAGAUAAUGAUGCUGGGAAAAAAUGGAAAGAAAAAGGAAGAGGGGCCAAACAAGGACAAGAUGGAUGGAUGAUACCCUUGAAGUAACUGUCUCGACCUUGAAGGAGCUGGGGGUGUCAAUGGUCAACAGGAAGCUCGGGCAUGGGCUGUCCAUGAGGUCACAAUGAGUCUGAAGCGACUGAAUGAAACAACAAAAAAGUAUUUUAAUCAGUUUUUACUACGCUGUUACUAUUUAAUCAUGUUUUAACUUUUGUAUUGUGCUUUUUAAACUUUUUUAAAGUGUGGGAUU
ensembl:lncRNA